CCUACGGGAGGCAGCAGUGGGGAAUAUUGCACAAUGAGGGAAAGCCUGAUGCAGCGACACAGCGUGCGUGAUGAAGUAUUUCGGUAUGUAAAGCUCUAUCAGCAGGGAAGAUAAUGACGGUACCUGACUGAGAAGCUCCGGCUAAAUACGUGACAGCAGCCGCGGUAAUACGUAUGGCGCAAGCGUUAUCCGGAUUUAAUGGGGGGAAAGGGAGCGGAGACGGCAGGGCUAGUCUGAUGUGAAAGUCCGGGGCUCAACCCCGGGACUGCAUUGGAAACUGUCCGGCUAGAGUGCAGUAGAGGUAAGUGGAAUUCCUAGUGUAGCGGUGAAAUGCGUAGAUAUUAGGAGGAACACCAGAGGCGAAGGCGGCUUACUGGACUGUAACUGACGUUGAGGCUCGAAAGCGUGGGGAGCAAACAGGAUUAGAUACCCCAGUAGUC
rnacentral:rRNA from 1 species